GAUAACCUGCCUCAAGGCUGGGGAUAACAUUUGGAAACAGAUGCUAAUACCGAAUAAAACUUAGUAUCGCAUGAUAUCAAGUUAAAAGGCGCUACGGCGUCACCUAGAGAUGGAUCCGCGGUGCAUUAGUUAGUUGGUGGGGUAAAGGCUUACCAAGACGAUGAUGCAUAGCCGAGUUGAGAGACUGAUCGGCCACAUUGGGACUGAGACACGGCCCAAACUCCUACGGGAGGCUGCAGUAGGGAAUCUUCCACAAUGGGCGCAAGCCUGAUGGAGCAACGCCGCGUGUGUGAUGAAGGCUUUCGGGUCGUAAAGCACUGUUGUAUGGGAAGAAAUGCUAAAAUAGGGAAUGAUUUUAGUUUGACGGUACCAUACCAGAAAGGGACGGCUAAAUACGUGCCAGCAGCCGCGGUAAUACGUAUGUCCCGAGCGUUAUCCGGAUUUAUUGGGCGUAAAGCGAGCGCAGACGGUUGAUUAAGUCUGAUGUGAAAGCCCGGAGCUCAACUCCGGAAUGGCAUUGGAAACUGGUUAACUUGAGUGUUGUAGAGGUAAGUGGAACUCCAUGUGUAGCGGUGGAAUGCGUAGAUAUAUGGAAGAACACCAGUGGCGAAGGCGGCUUACUGGACAACAACUGACGUUGAGGCUCGAAAGUGUGGGUAGCAAACAGGAUUAGAUACCCUGGUAGUCCACACCGUAAACGAUGAAUACUAGGUGUUAGGAGGUUUCCGCCUCUUAGUGCCGAAGCUAACGCAUUAAGUAUUCCGCCUGGGGAGUACGACCGCAAGGUUGAAACUCAAAGGAAUUGACGGGGACCCGCACAAGCGGUGGAGCAUGUGGUUUAAUUCGAAGCAACGCGAAGAACCUUACCAGGUCUUGACAUCCUUUGAAGCUUUUAGAGAUAGAAGUGUUCUCUUCGGAGACAAAGUGACAGGUGGUGCAUGGUCGUCGUCAGCUCGUGUCGUGAGAUGUUGGGUUAAGUCCCGCAACGAGCGCAACCCUUAUUGUUAGUUGCCAGCAUUCAGUUGGGCACUCUAGCGAGACUGCCGGUGACAAACCGGAGGAAGGCGGGGACGACGUCAGAUCAUCAUGCCCCUUAUGACCUGGGCUACACACGUGCUACAAUGGCGUAUACAACGAGUUGCCAACCUGCGAAGGUGAGCUAAUCUCUUAAAGUACGUCUCAGUUCGGACUGCAGUCUGCAACUCGACUGCACGAAGUCGGAAUCGCUAGUAAUCGCGGAUCAGCACGCCGCGGUGAAUACGUUCCCGGGUCUUGUACACACCGCCCGUCACACCAUGGGAGUUUGUAAUGCCCAA
rnacentral:rRNA from 1 species